UCUAACCUAAGCAACGCAAACCCUACCUACUUUUGCGUCCUUGCAAGCCUCUACUUGCGCCAGUGUGAAUAAGUAUAUUCAAAAACUU
rfam:Lysinibacillus sinduriensis BLB-1 = JCM 15800 contig21, whole genome shotgun sequence.